rnacentral:rRNA from 1 species
AUUGAACGCUGGCGGCAGGCCUAACACAUGCAAGUCGGGCGAGCGGCGGACGGGUGAGGAAUGUAAGGGGCUCCGCCUGAUGGCGGGGUCUAACUACUGGUAACGGUAGGUAAUAACGCAUAUCCUACUGAGAACCCAUAGGGUAUUAGCUAGUAGGUAAGGUAACGGCUUACCGAGGCGACAAUCUCUAGAUGGUGUGAGAGGAUGAGCAGACACACGGGGACUGAGACAAGGCACAGACUCCGACGGGAGGAAGAAGUGGGGAAUAUUGCACAAUGGGCGAAAGCCUGAUGCAGCUAUGCCGCGUGUAUGAAGAAGGCGUUCGGGUUGUAAAGUACGUUCAGUCGGGAGGCGUUACCGACAGAAGAAGCACCGGCGAACUCCGUGCCAGCAGCCGCGGUAAUAC